UACGGGGGGAGCAAGCGUUGCUCGGAAUCACUGGGCGUAAAGGGCGCGUAGGCGGGAUGGCAAGUCGGUCGUGAAAUCCUUCGGCUCAACCGAAGAACGUCGGCCGAUACUGCCGUUCUUGAGGGAUGCAGAGGAGAUUGGAAUUCCCGGUGUAGCGGUGAAAUGUGUAGAGAUCGGGAGGAACACCGGUGGCGAAGGCGGGUCUCUGGGCAUCUCCUGACGCUGAGGCGCGAAAGCGUGGGGAGCAAACGGG
rnacentral:rRNA from 1 species